ACACUAUUCAUCCAGGCAACUUAAAAUCUGAUAACUUUCGCCGGAGCUCCCUGAAUGUCCGUUUGAGCUUAAACUCGACAGUCAUGUUCGGUUUUACUUAACUUAACAAACUAACGAUCACUGGCUCAGUUUCGACUCCGUUUGGUCACCGAAAACUGUGCCGAACUGCAAUCUUUAUCAGAUAGCUUUCGGAUUUUAUUUCUCACUCUACGGGUGUCAGAAAAAUAUGAAACCUUAAAUCUAGCCUCAUAAGAAUAUUUCUGACUUAUCCUCCAAUUUUCAUAAUUUUCUGAGACUGUGCAUUUUCUGCUAAUUUAUCUGUCCCAUUUCCAACAGAAAAUUCUAGAUCUUCUGUUUUCGCUCCGAUUUCAGCACCGGUCAUUUCUAACUCAUAUUUCGCUUCUCCAAAUCCAAUAAAAAUAGUAUCUCAUACUAUUUUUAUUUAUUCCUAUUUUUAUAUCUAGAAUCCGGUAUGUCACAUUCCACCGCAACCUUACCGGAACCAUUCAAAUGGCUCUCCAACCAAAUGGACACCGCAACCUCAUGAUUUUAGAAGUCCGGUACCUUACAUUCGCACCCCAGUAGGAGGUUUUGGUGGCACCACCUGUGCAGAGGCCCCCGGUUGGAGCAGCUUUCCCUACUUUGGUUGAGGGGGCGGAGCGAGAUAGACUGAUGGAGCGCCUCAAUGAGUUCAGGAGGUGCAGUCCCCGAGUCUUUGACGGCGAGAAGGUCGACCACUGGAUCGCGGUAAGGGCAUAGCGCCCUAGCUCUUGGUAGAUAGCUUACUUUACCUACUUGCAUUAGAUCACCUUGCUUAUGUUUUGAGAGUAGAUGUUGUAUAGGGUGAGGUUUUGGAGAGCAUUGAUGUAUCUACAUUUU
rnacentral:lncRNA from 1 species